rnacentral:lncRNA from 1 species
GUGAAGAAGGUAUUUUGCAAGCUCCUAUUGUUAAAACAUUUAAUUCUUAAUAACUAAUGUGUGAAAUACUUACUAUUCUUAUUUUUCAAUUUCAUGCUUAAGCGGUGAAGAACUACAACUAUUUUAUUAGUCUUUUUACAUAGUUUGGAAAAGUUCCAUGGAUUUGGUAAUUUUUUCUACUGCAUCAUAUAGCAGGCUACUUUUUUGACUUUGUUCCUUCUAUUCCCUGCUUUGUCGACCUUGAAAUUGAUUUACUUGGCCAUCCUGUAACUAAAAUCUGCAGUUCCAGUUUUUUAUGCUAAAAUGAACCAAAUUAAAAAUUCUAAUUUUAGCAUGAUUUUUCUGUUAUCACCUUUGAAAAAGAUAACCAAAUUUUUCUGCAACCUUUUCUUCGUAGGUCUUAGAAGCAUCUGAAAAAUGCCAUACUUGGAAAGCGCCAUGGAAAACACUUCCACCUCAGCCCCCCACCCAACCAAGAAGAAAAGGAAAAAUAGAGAGAACAUGCAUGCAUAGAGCAAUUCUACAGAAUAGAUCCUGCAUUGCAAGAAGAUGCUGUAUCGAUUAAGCACUCGAUUUCGGUAACACACCAUCGAUAUCUAUAAAAUGUACGAGGAGAUGAGUGCUUUAGGCUAGCCUGUGGGGUUGGAUAAUCUUGAUUAGAGCAGAGCUUCAUUUGUCACAUCCGUAGCAGAAUAUACUAACCAAUAGUUACGAUGUAGAGAAAAAA